CAGACUGCUGGAGAAACCCAGCAGCGCAGGCACCAUCUAUAAAGGGAAAGGGAACGGUCGACGUUCCGUUCAUAUCUGGAGUGACCAACUUUAAGUUCCUACGGUAUUUUGUAUGUGGAACAAAGAGUCAGAACCAGGAAGAAGGGUGAAGCAGAAGGGAAGUGAAAGAGCCAGAAGAAAAAGAUUGGGGAUCAGAAGAGAGAAACAGCAAAACAAGUGCUCAAAGACAGACAAAUCCUGUGAUGAGUCCUUGAACACGACCCAGUCCAGCAACUCGAAGCAAUCCCAUAGCCUCUUAUAAACACAAAAUACUCUGCCGAUGCUGGGGUCAAAGCAACAAAGCAACAAAACAACCUGGGUUCUGGCCCGAAACAUUGACUGAUCAUUUCCACGGAUGCUGCCGGAUGUGCUGAGUUCCUCCAGCGUGUUGGAGGAAGUUUGUGAUUCAGCUGCAGAUGGCACCUGGCACAUUACGUUUGGAGACUUUCUCUUGCAGAAGCUCAGGAACGAUGGUACUGAAGGCUGAACUGAAAUCAAAAAAAAAAAACCCUGACAUACGUACCAGGGGAGUCGAGGUGCUGAAGAGCAAUGUUAGCAGCAUCAUCUACAGAUCUAUUGGCCACAGCCCUCUAUAGCUUCUUGUACUUGUGUCUCCAUACCCGGCUGUGUUGCAACCAGACAGAAAGCUCUCCACCAUAUACCUACUGAAAUUUGCUAGAGUCUUUGGUGACACACUAAAUCUUCUCAAACUCCCAACAAAGUAGAGCCACUAGCAUACCUUCUUCACGAUUGCAUCAAUGUCAGGAUAGAUCCACCGAGAGGUUGACACCCAGGAACUUGAAAGGUGCACCCUUUCCAUUGCUGACCACUCAAGGGGGCUCAGUUUA